rnacentral:rRNA from 1 species
UGGAGGCAGCAGUGGGGAAUAUUGCACAAUGGGCGAAAGCCUGAUGCAGCGACGCCGCGUGAGGGAUGACGGCCUUCGGGUUGUAAACCUCUUUCAGCAGGGAAGAAGCGAAAGUGACGGUACCUGCAGAAGAAGCACCGGCUAACUACGUGCCAGCAGCCGCGGUAAUACGUAGGGUGCGAGCGUUGUCCGGAAUUAUUGGGCGUAAAGGGCUUGUAGGCGGUUUGUCGCGUCUGCUGUGAAAAUCCGAGGCUCAACCUCGGACUUGCAGUGGGUACGGGCAGACUAGAGUGUGGUAGGGGAGACUGGAAUUCCUGGUGUAGCGGUGAAAUGCGCAGAUAUCAGGAGGAACACCGAUGGCGAAGGCAGGUCUCUGGGCCACUACUGACGCUGAGAAGCGAAAGCAUGGGGAGCGAACAGGAUUAGAUACCCGGGUAGUCCA